CCUACGGGAGACUGCAGUGGGGGAUAUUGCACAAUGGGGGGAACCCUGAUGCAGCGACGCCGCGUGGGUGAAGAAGCGCCUCGGCGCGUAAAGCCCUGUCAGCAGGGAAGAAAAUGACGGUACCUGAAGAAGAAGCCCCGGCUAACUACGUGCCAGCAGCCGCGGUAAUACGUAGGGGGCAAGCGUUAUCCGGAUUUACUGGGUGUAAAGGGGGCGCAGACGGCGAUGCAAGCCAGGAGUGAAAGCCUGGGGCCCAACCCCGGGACUGCUCUUGGAACUGCGUGGCUGGAGUGCAGGAGGGGCAGGCGGAAUUCCUGGUGUAGCGGUGAAAUGCGUAGAUAUCAGGAGGAACACCGGUGGCGAAGGCGGCCUGCUGGACUGCAACUGACGUGGAGGCCCGAAAGCGUGGGGAGCAAACAGGAUUAGAUACCCUGGUAGUC
rnacentral:rRNA from 1 species